AGUGUAAAUAAAAACUGUCGUCGUAUAAUAUCGGUAAUAAGGUCCGAUAGUCUCUACCAGGUCACCGUAAAAGACCUGACUACGAAAUUAAAUAAGAGCUUA
rnacentral:ncRNA from 3 species